GAUGAACGCUAGCGGCAGGCCUAACACAUGCAAGUCGAGGGGUAGAACAAUUCGGUGUUUGAGACCAGCGCACGGGUGCGUAACGCGUAUGCAAUCUACCUUGUACAGGGGAAUAGCCCAGAGAAAUUUGGAUUAAUGCCCCAUAGUAUAUAACCUUCGCAUGUUGGUUAUAUUAAAGUUCCAACGGUACAAGAUGAGCAUGCGUCCCAUUAGUUAGUUGGUAAGGUAACGGCUUACCAAGACGAUGAUGGGUAGGGGUCCUGAGAGGGAGAUCCCCCACACUGGUACUGAGACACGGACCAGACUCCUACGGGAGGCAGCAGUGAGGAAUAUUGGUCAAUGGGCGCAAGCCUGAACCAGCCAUGCCGCGUGCAGGAAGACGGUCCUAUGGAUUGUAAACUGCUUUUAUACAGGAAGAAACAACUCUACGUGUAGAGUCUUGACGGUACUGUAGGAAUAAGGAUCGGCUAACUCCGUGCCAGCCGCCGCCGUAACAC
rnacentral:rRNA from 1 species